AAAUCUUGCCUAUCUCUGGUGAAGACUCUAGAGACGACUGAACGCUUCGAGACUGGCUACUCGCUUCGUCGAUGAGAGGGAAACCGUAAUUUUGGACCUGAAUAUGGGAAACGGCCGGGGGACGAUGAUUCUCUAUCCUUCGAGGACCGUUAUGCCCCUUGCACGCUAGCCUCCGCGUCGGUGUGGCUCUGGUAACAAUGAGUAGCCAGCGAUGCUUUCAUAGGAUGAGGGUUUCCGCGUACCGUCUGGGAAGUCCGAUCAUCGGAGCCGAUUCCGACCCUCGAGACCCGAUUGGCUUCGCUUGGGAGGACCCAGCAGUGGUUGGAAACAAGGGGAGCAAUCAUCGAUCGAAUGGCUAGUCCAGGGACGCGCGUCCGUGACAGAGAUGGACUAAAUUCUUAUCUGGAUAAAUCCAACGAGAAAAACUUGAUGUCUUACUAUUAGAAAAUUUCACCAAAAUUGGAGCUGGAUAGGACUCCUCUCUUCGAAGAGGACCUAUCUGUGAAUACAGAGUCCUCGAAGUGCAAAACAAAUUAUGGAGUCCUGUAACAGGUCCUCUGUAGCAUGUAACCGGUGCUGCAGGACUCACCAUUCGUCAUAGACACGCUGCGAGGUGGAGGUGCAGAGAAGGUUUUAGUCGCGUUCAUUUUAACGGUGGUUCGUCGCAGCUGAA